UGGCUCUCGCAUCGAUGAAGAACGCAGCGAAAUGCGAUAAGUAAUGUGAAUUGCAGAAUUCAGUGAAUCAUCGAAUCUUUGAACGCAUCUUGCGCUCUUUGGUAUUCCGAAGAGCAUGCCUGUUUGAGUGUCAUUAAAUUCUCAACCUUAACAUCUUUUACAAAGUUGAUAAGGCUUGGACUUGGGGGUUGUGCAGGCUUUCGAGUCAGCUCCUCUGAAAUGUAUUAGCGGUACUCUAGUGGUACAAUUAGACUAUUAGUGUGAUAACUAUCUACGCUAUUAGUUUGUCCACAAUUUAAAUAGAGUCAUGCUGCUUAUAACCGGUCAUUUAUUUGAACAAUACAUGACAAUCUUGACCUCAAAUCAGGUAGGACUACCCGCUGA
rnacentral:misc_RNA from 1 species